rnacentral:rRNA from 1 species
UACGUAGGUGGCGAGCGUUAUCCGGAAUUACUGGGCGUAAAGCGCACGCAGGCGGCCGGUCAAGUCUGACGUGAAAGCUCCUGGCUUAACUGGGAGAGGUCGUUGGAAACUGGCGGGCUUGAGGCAAUGAGAGGGGUGUAGAAUUCCCGGUGUAGUAGUGGAAUGCGUUGAUAUCGGGAGGAAUACCAGUGGCGAAGGCGGCACCCUGGCAUUGACCUGACGCUGAGGUGCGAAAGCGUGGGGAGCGAACGGGAUUAGAUACCCUGGUAGU